CCUGGCUCACGUUGAGCGCUAGCUACAGGCUUAACACAUGCAAGUCGAGGGGCAUCAGGAAGAAAGCUUGCUUUCUUUGCUGGCGACCGGCGCACGGGUGAGUAACACGUAUCCAACCUGCCCUUUACUCGGGGAUAGCCUUUCGAAAGAAAGAUUAAUACCCGAUAGUAUAAUGAUUCCGCAUGGUUUCAUUAUUAAAGGAUUCCGGUAAAGGAUGGGGAUGCGUUCCAUUAGGUUGUUGGUGAGGUAACGGCUCACCAAGCCUUCGAUGGAUAGGGGUUCUGAGAGGAAGGUCCCCCACAUUGGAACUGAGACACGGUCCAAACUCCUACGGGAGGCAGCAGUGAGGAAUAUUGGUCAAUGGGCGCGAGCCUGAACCAGCCAAGUAGCGUGAAGGAUGACUGCCCUAUGGGUUGUAAACUUCUUUUAUAUUAGAAUAAAGUGCAGUAUGUAUACUGUUUUGUAUGUAUAAUAUGAAUAAGGAUCGGCUAACUCCGUGCCAGCAGCCGCGGUAAUACGGAGGAUCCGAGCGUUAUCCGGAUUUAUUGGGUUUAAAGGGAGCGUAGGUGGACUGGUAAGUCAGUUGUGAAAGUUUGCGGCUCAACCGUAAAAUUGCAGUUGAUACUGUCAGUCUUGAGUACAGUAGAGGUGGGCGGAAUUCGUGGUGUAGCGGUGAAAUGCUUAGAUAUCACGAAGAACUCCGAUUGCGAAGGCAGCUCACUGGACUGCAACUGACACUGAUGCUCGAAAGUGUGGGUAUCAAACAGGAUUAGAUACCCUGGUAGUCCACACAGUAAACGAUGAAUACUCGCUGUUUGCGAUAUACAGUAAGCGGCCAAGCGAAAGCAUUAAGUAUUCCACCUGGGGAGUACGCCGGCAACGGUGAAACUCAAAGGAAUUGACGGGGGCCCGCACAAGCGGAGGAACAUGUGGUUUAAUUCGAUGAUACGCGAGGAACCUUACCCGGGCUUAAAUUGCAGUGGAAUGAUGUGGAAACAUGUCAGUGAGCAAUCACCGCUGUGAAGGUGCUGCAUGGUUGUCGUCAGCUCGUGCCGUGAGGUGUCGGCUUAAGUGCCAUAACGAGCGCAACCCUUAUCUUUAGUUACUAACAGGUCAUGCUGAGGACUCUAGAGAGACUGCCGUCGUAAGAUGUGAGGAAGGUGGGGAUGACGUCAAAUCAGCACGGCCCUUACGUCCGGGGCUACACACGUGUUACAAUGGGGGGUACAGAAGGCAGCUACCUGGUGACAGGAUGCUAAUUCCAAAAGCCUCUCUCAGUUCGGAUCGAAGUCUGCAACCCGACUUCGUGAAGCUGGAUUCGCUAGUAAUCGCGCAUCAGCCACGGCGCGGUGAAUACGUUCCCGGGCCUUGUACACACCGCCC
rnacentral:rRNA from 1 species